rnacentral:pre_miRNA from 1 species
GUAGUAUUCCCUCCGUCCCAAAAUUCCUGUCUUACAUUUGUUUAGAUACGGAUGUAUCUAACACUAAAAUGUAACUAGAUACAUCUGUAUUUAGACAAAUUUAAGACAAGAAUUUUGGGACGGAGGGAGUACAAA